UGUUUAUCCUGGUAACACGGACACAAAAUAGAAGACGAGCAAGGACCAUAGAUUUUCCUCUAGAAGCUGGGCAUACCAGUACAGUAUCACCCAUGAAUCUCGAAUGUGAUAGUUACCAGAAAUGUGGGUGGGCAAAGUCAGCAAGUGACAAGACUGCCUUUCUGUGUAUGAGGCCUCAUUAAUACUUCAGUAUUCAUCUGAAGACAGAAGGGUAUGU
rnacentral:lncRNA from 1 species